rnacentral:rRNA from 1 species
UACGGAGGGUGCAAGCGUUAUCCGGAUUCACUGGGUUUAAAGGGUACGUAGGCGGGUAAGUAAGUCCGUGGUGAAAUCUCUGAGCUUAACUCAGAAACUGCCGUGGAUACUAUUUGCCUUGAAUAUUGUGGAGGUGAGCGGAAUAUGUCAUGUAGCGGUGAAAUGCUUAGAUAUGACAUAGAACACCAAUUGCGAAGGCAGCUCACUACACAAUCAUUGACGCUGAGGCACGAAAGCGUGGGGAUCAAACAGG